GACGAACGCUGGCGGCGUGCUUAACACAUGCAAGUCGAACGGUAAGGCCCUUCGGGUACGACGAGUGGCGAACGGGUGAGUAACACGUGGGUGAUCUGCCCUGCACUUCGGGAUAAGCCUGGGAAACUGGGUCUAAUACCGGAUAGGACCAUGGACUUCACGGUUUGUGGUGGAAAGCUUUUGCGGUGUGGGAUGGGCCCGCGGCCUAUCAGCUUGUUGGUGGGGUAAUGGCCUACCAAGGCGACGACGGGUAGCCGGCCUGAGAGGGUGUCCGGCCACACUGGGACUGAGAUACGGCCCAGACUCCUACGGGAGGCAGCAGUGGGGAAUAUUGCACAAUGGGCGCAAGCCUGAUGCAGCGACGCCGCGUGAGGGAUGAC
rnacentral:rRNA from 1 species